ACAUACCAAGGUUUAAGAAUUUAUCAAAUGAGUAGUUUUUAUCAUACAUAAUUGGCAGGUGAUACUUUCUGUAGCAAUCAAUAUGAAGAAAUUUUGAAUAUUUAAACUUGAAUGUAUAGAUUACCAUUAGUAAGAGCUUACACAUUAACAAUUUUUAAUCAAUAAUUGUGAACCUCUAUUUUGCAAAUUGUUAUACGUUCUGAAAAUAAAAAAGAAAAACUUGCAGGUACAAAGUCUUAUUCUUGCACUCUUUUUCUCUAAUUUCAGUUACUUCAUCGUUAUUGAGCUUACCAACUAUUAUUCUUGAACCAGUGUUGUCUGAGAGGUGAUAUAAAAAAAAAAUCAGCAGCAAGUUCCAAAAGCUUUAAAUAUUGUUGCAGCCGUACUCAGAAUGCAUUUCAUGAUUGCCUUGUUAGAAUAAGUAAAACAAUUCCUUGAUUUCAAUUUAUGUGUCUCACUUUCUUUUUAACUUUAUUAAAAAAGAAUGUCUUUUUCUAUAUUCAUAACUCUUAAAUCUUAACAUUCUACGUGACAUGUUUAAGACCACAAGGUUCAAAUUGACAUUUUGAUGUACUGCACAUAUAUUUAGUCAAAAGAAGAUAUUUACAUGUGAAGGACCUUAAUUUCAUGAACAAAAAAUUGAAAAUUUUGCGAGAAGAUACUUUCAAAAUAUAGUAUUCCCAUUUAAUAUUCUAUCUUCAAGAAGGACUCUAAUGCUCAUUACUUUAGUGUUUCCACAAUAUUGUUAGUAAAAUUCUAUGAACCCUCAAAGAACUAAAAUAAAAUUCUAGUGGUAUUUCAGUGGUUAAGAUGUGAAGAAAAGAUGGCAAAGAGGAUUGGCCACAAUAGUAUCCAGUAGCCCUUUUAUAAGAUCAGUUCUCAGGUCUUGACACAUUUAAUUAAUAUUAUUAUUUUAAUCAAUUCCUUGGUAAUGUUUUGAAGAUGAUGGAUGAUGCCAUAAAAGUACUCCGCUGGUAAUUGACCCUUUUUUGGUUGUUGAUAAAUUACUACUUUUGUCAUUGUUAUUAAUUUAUAUCCAUUUUUCAUGGGCUCUUACCAUUUGAAGUUAAAAAGGUUGAUCAUGUUUCCAAAUGGAGGUAAAAUUCUGAAUUUCUCUAAAAAUAGUACCUUUGAUUUUAUUUUUCAUUUAGACUUCUUUAUGUAUCUAGAUUUCAGCCUUUCUUCUUAUUUUUCUUUCAAUCAAGUCUGUCAUUUAAUAAUUUUUAAUGGGUGAUACAUAUAUUUGUUUCUUUGUCCGUCAUGCUUCUUUGUUCAUUCCUUACAGGAGAUUAAUUGUUUGUUCAAACACUUCUUAUGAAUUAAUUUUAUGUUUGAUGUGCCUAAAGUAACUAAAGAAGUCCUUUUUCUUAACACAGGACUUCUAUACCUUGCAUCGCAUUCACCAAUUCAAGAGCUAUAUUAUUUAGCACUACUAGACAAUAUUAAGCAAGAAGGGCAUAAUCGUUAAACUUGUUUGAGAGCUUAUUACAAAACCAGCUAAAGGAUAAGUUGAAAUAUUAUGUAUUAGUAGAUUUAAAGUUGCUCACCCUCCUCUCAAUGAAAAAGAGAAAGUCAGACUUGAGAAGGACAUGCUGAUUUUAGAAUCAUACAUCUAUUUGAAUAAUAGAAGCAAUUACAGUUCUCAAGGGAAUGGUGAAAAGAUGUGCGCGGAAGAACUCGUGUUUGUCCAUUAUGAUUCAUUGUGGGUGAAGGUUUUUGCAGUGCUACAAAGAAUUUAGAAUGUUUGAUUGAUGAAACUUUCAUAUUUCAUUUUCAAUAUCAUGUUAUUGAGGAACAAUUGUACAGUAACUGUUUGGGCUUAGCUAGAAAAACAAUUUAA